AUUGAACGCUGGCGGCAUGCCUUACACAUGCAAGUCGAACGGUAACAGGUUAAGCUGACGAGUGGCGAACGGGUGAGUAAUAUAUCGGAACGUGCCCAGUCGUGGGGGAUAACGUAGCGAAAGCUACGCUAAUACCGCAUACGAUCUAUGGAUGAAAGCGGGGGAUCGCAAGACCUCGCGCGAUUGGAGCGGCCGAUAUCAGAUUAGGUAGUUGGUGGGGUAAAAGCCCACCAAGCCGACGAUCUGUAGCUGGUCUGAGAGGACGACCAGCCACACUGGGACUGAGACACGGCCCAGACUCCUACGGGAGGCAGCAGUGGGGAAUUUUGGACAAUGGGCGCAAGCCUGAUCCAGCAAUGCCGCGUGCAGGAUGAAGGCCUGGUGUAACU
rnacentral:rRNA from 1 species